AAUCUCAGGCAUUUCAAUGCUCAAAAAGCUUUAAGCAAUAAAGCAUUUAUUGUUUAAUCCUCAGAAAGCUUCAGAGUUUAGCCUUGAUUAGUUAGAAGACUUGACUAUCAGUAAGUAAAUAAACACACAACUCAAUUGCAGUGAGGUAGCUGCACUAGCACAAUUAGCAUCCAUAAAGAACCAUGACAAAGGUGUAUUUUUUAAAACACUGAUCAGACUUCACACAAAGCCAUAACUUCUCUAUCCCAAAAGUACCUGCACAGACAUAUUAACAUGCACUUGAAAGCACUGUCAGCUCACACAUUUCAAGCAUGAUCAUACAUAACCCUUCACACUCAUGUUCCACCAAACCUUUGGAGCAUCGGUCUUCACACUUCCUUUGAAAAAUGGGCUGCAACAGGAGAACUGCUCACGAACACAUUAUCAGUUGCUUGAAAUGUAGCCUAACAAAACAAGCAAAACAAACACUCCCAGAAAGAUUAAUGCAGCACUUGCUGACUUCAAGCUUGCUUUGGAUGUAGUACAGCAGCCCUGGCUGCAGACAGCCAGGCUCCAUUACUUCAUCGUCCUGUCUCCCAGGGUGAGACACAUCAGGUGGCAGGUAGCAGCUCUCGUAUCAGACACAUCCUGCUGACUGAAGGUGGUAGCAUUCUAUGCACAGUUCUCCAAAUGGGUGAAGUAUCCUGCAGCAGAUAUUCAGGUAAAUGCUUCUUCUCCACUGCCACUGCUUUACCCAAAGCAGUAAGCAGUGUCUCUGGAGACAUGAUCCAUGUAGGCAGGCUGUACCUGGCCCAACACCACCACACGUGAAGAUUGAGAUGCUUCUGUCCACUCUGUUAUGCGUGCCAAAGAAAUUCAGGAACUUGCAGGGGCAUUUUUCCAAAGUGAGCAAUACUUGAGUCCAGCUUCCUUGUACAUAUGGGAGGAAGUAUUUCUAUGGUAGUCUACCAUCCAGUAAACCUGCAAGCAGAGGAUUUAUUGCACUUGAGAUCAAGAAGCCUUGUGUUUGAUCAUUUAUACAGUCGUUUAUGAAUGAAUGCAUUCAGAGCCCAGCUUCAGCACACUCAAAAAAUU
ensembl:lncRNA